AUUGAACGCUGGCGGCAGGCCUAACACAUGCAAGUCGAACGAGUGGCGGACGGGUGAGUAAUGUCUGGGCAACUGCCUGAUGGAGGGGGAUAACUACUGGAAACGGUAGCUAAUACCGCAUACCAUCAGAUGUACCCAGAUGGGAUUAGCUAGUUGGUUGGGUAAAGGCUCACCUAGGCGACGAUCCCUAGCUGGUCUGAGAGGAUGACCAGCCACACUGGAACUGAGACACGGUCCAGACUCCUACGGGAGGCAGCAGUGGGGAAUAUUGCACAAUGGGCGCAAGCCUGAUGCAGCCAUGCCGCGUGUGUGAAGAAGGCCUUCGGGUGGUAAAGCACUGUCAGUGGGGAGGCGUUAUCCGCAGAAGAAGCACCGGCUAACUCCGUGCCAGCAGCCGCGGUAAUAC
rnacentral:rRNA from 1 species